GACCACGUGGCCUAACGGAUAGGGCGUCUGACUUCGGAUCAGAAGAUUGAGGGUUCGAAUCCCUUCGUGGUUA
rnacentral:tRNA from 2 species